rnacentral:rRNA from 1 species
UACGGGGGGGGCAAGCGUUGUUCGGAAUUACUGGGCGUAAAGGGCUCGUAGGUGGCUUGUUAAGUCAGACGUGAAAUCCCUCAGCUUAACUGGGGAACUGCGUCUGAUACUGGCGAGCUUGAGUGCAGGAGAGGAACGCGGAAUUCCAGGCGUAGCGGUGAAAUGCGUAGAUAUCUGGAGGAACACCGGUGGCGAAGGCGGCGUUCUGGACUGCAACUGACACUGAGAAACGAAAGCCAGGGUAGCAAACGGG